GGUAGUCCACGCCGUAAACGUUGGGCACUAGGUGUGGGGCUCUAUCGACGGGCUCUGUGCCGUAGCUAACGCAUUAAGUGCCCCGCCUGGGGAGUACGGCCGCAAGGCUAAAACUCAAAGGAAUUGACGGGGGGCCCGCACAAGCGGCGGAGCAUGUGGCUUAAUUCGAUGCAACGCGAAGAACCUUACCUGGGUUGAACUACGCGGGAAAAGCCAUGGAAACAUGGUGUCCUUCGGGGUCCGCGAUAGGUGGUGCAUGGCUGUCGUCAGCUCGUGUCGUGAGAUGUUGGGUUAAG
rnacentral:rRNA from 1 species